rnacentral:rRNA from 1 species
UACGAAGGGGGCUAGCGUUGCUCGGAUUGACUGGGCGUAAAGGGCGCGUAGGCGGUUUGCAUAGUCAGACGUGAAAUUCCUGGGCUUAACCUGGGGGCUGCGUUUGAUACAUGCAGGCUUGAGUUCGGAAGAGGGUCGUGGAAUUCCCAGUGUAGAGGUGAAAUUCGUAGAUAUUGGGAAGAACACCGGUGGCGAAGGCGGCCUGCUGGGCAGUAGCUGACGCUGAGGCGCGACAGCGUGGGGAGCAAACAGG